rnacentral:lncRNA from 1 species
AAUUCACUUCACUCGUACUUCAAGUCAGAUAGAACGAUAGAAAGAGGCAAAAACUAAAAGCUAACAUUUGCAGCGAUGGCAUCCAUGACCAUGACAGCCGCCUCAUUCCUGACUGCAGGCUCAGCCUCAACCAUCGCCAAACCUUCAACUCCCAGCCGCCGGAGCCUCGUCGUGGCCAAGGCCGCAGCCAGAACCUCAGAGGGGGAAACAAAGAAGGAAGGGAGCAGCAACAGCAGUGGAAGGAGGGACUUGAUGUUUGCGGCUGCGGCUGCGGUGGCCAGCUCUCUUGCCAAGGCUGCCUUGGCGGAUGAGCCAAAGAGGGGGACCAAAGAAGCCAAGGAGAAGUAUGCUCCUGUUUGCGUCACCAUGCCAACUGCUCGUAUCUGUCGCAACUGAGGAAACCACUACGUA